rnacentral:rRNA from 1 species
GUACACGCUGUGACUAGCAUAUCAAUAAGCGGAGGAAAAGAAACUAACAAGGAUUCCCCUAGUAACGGCGAGUGGAAGCGGGAAGAGCUCAAAUUUGAAAUCUUAAAGGGUUUCCCUUUACGAAUUGUAGUUUAAAGAAGUGUUUUCUGUUGAGGUUUUGGUAAAAGUUCUUUGGAAUAGGACAUCAUAGAGGGUGAGAAUCCCGUAUUUGACCUUUACUUUCAACUUUGUGAUACACUUUCAAAGAGUCGGAUUGUUUGGGAAUGCAGUCCAAAAUGGGUGGUAAAUUUCAUCUAAAGCUAAAUAUUGGCGAGAGACCGAUAGCGAACAAGUACCGUGAGGGAAAGAUGAAAAGAACUUUGAAAAGAGAGUUAAACAGUACGUGAAAUUGUCAAAAGGGAAGCGUUUGACACCAGUGUUGUUUUUCUCGAAAAUCAAUUAAAGAACUGUUUAUGCUAAGUUGUUUAGACUUUAUCAGCUAACUGUUUAGUUUUGAGCUUUUCUUUAAUGCACUUUUCAGUUAACAAGUCAACAUCAAUUUCUUUUGCUGUAAAAAAGCUUGAGGAAGGUGGCUUGAGAUUCGUCUUAAGUGUUUAUAGCCUCUUGCCUAUGCAGUCGGAGAGAUUGAGGUCUGCAGCGUAGAUCCUUCGGGGCUAAAUGCAUUUGCGCUAAGUUAUAGCAUUUUAUAGACAACUUGUUGACUAUGAUUUGUCUUGUAGCUUACUCGCUUAUGUUAUUUUACCUACGCUUAGGAUGUUGAAGUCAUCGUAUCGCGC